rnacentral:rRNA from 1 species
UCACGAGAACUAAUCUGUCUCCCUCCCCCAAUCAGUGAAACUGAUCUCCCCGUGCAGAAGCGGGGAUAAUAUCAUAAGACGAGAAGACCCUGUGGAGCUUAAAAUCAAAAAUCAACUGCUUCUCCCACCUAUACUAAAGAAACAUUUUCCGCAAGCCUGAUUUAGAUUUUCAGCUGGGGCGGCUGUGGAGAAAAAUAAAUCCUCCACGAAUAUUUAUGCUGAAAGCCACCGCGAUAGGCAUUAAUAAACUUAAUUUUAAUUGACCCAAUUUUUGAUCAACGAACCAAGUUACCCCAGGGAUAACAGCGCAAUCCACUUUCAGAGUCCUUAUCGACAAGUGGGCUUACGACCUCGAUGUUGGAUCAGGGCAUCCUAGUGGUGCAGCCGCUACUAAAGGUUCGUUUGUUCAACGAUUAAAGCCCU